rnacentral:rRNA from 1 species
GAUGAACGCUAGCGAUAGGCUUAACACAUGCAAGUCGAGGGGCAGCAUGGUCUUAGCUUGCUAAGACUGAUGGCGACCGGCGCACGGGUGCGUAACGCGUAUGCAACUUGCCUCACAGAGGGGGAUAACCCGUCGAAAGACGGACUAAUACCGCGUACACUUGGGAUAGGGCAUCCUGACCCAAGGAAAUGAAAUUCGCUGUGAGAUAGGCAUGCGUCCCAUUAGCUCGUUAGUGAGGUAACGGCUCACCAAGGCGACGAUGGGUAGGGGAACUGAGAGGUUGAACCCCCACACUGGUACUGAGACACGGACCAGACUCCUACGGGAGGCAGCAGUGAGGAAUAUUGGUCAAUGGGCGAGAGCCUGAACCAGCCAAGUCGCGUGAAGGAUGACUGUCUUAUGGAUUGUAAACUUCUUUUAUACGGGAAUAACAAGAGCCACGUGUGGCUCCCUGCAUGUACCGUAUGAAUAAGCAUCGGCUAACUCCGUG